UACGUAGGGUGCAAGCGUUGUCCGGAUUUAUUGGGCGUAAAGAGCUCGUAGGCGGUCUGUCGCGUCGGAUGUGAAAACCCGGAACUCAACUCCGGGCCUGCAUUCGAUACGGGCAGACUUGAGUACUGCAGGGGAGACUGGAAUUCCUGGUGUAGCGGUGGAAUGCGCAGAUAUCAGGAGGAACAUCGGUGGCGAAGGCGGGUCUCUGGACCGAUACUGACGCUGAGGAGCGAAAGCGUGGGGAGCGAACAGG
rnacentral:rRNA from 1 species